rnacentral:misc_RNA from 1 species
ACCUACUGUUUAAUUUUGAGGGUUCGUUUUUACGAAUACUCAAAAUUAGCACUUUAAGCAACGGGAUUUAUGCGUUGGCGCUGUGCGUUAGCACUUUGAAAACUGCAUAUAUAUUUAGUGAUAUGACAUCUAAUUUGUAAUAUAUAAAGCUGAUAACUUUUUAAAAUUAUCGAAGUUGAUAGCUUCUAAUCUAUCAAACCUUUAUAACUGGUCAA